GAAUUGCAGAAUUCAGUGAAUCAUCGAAUCUUUGAACGCACCUUGCGCCCUUUGGCCAUUCCGAAGGGCAUGCCUGUUUGAGUAUCAUGAACACCUCAACUCUCCAUGGUUUUCCAUGAUGAGCUUGGACUUUGGGGGGGUUUUGCUGGCCCUAUGGUCAGCUCCUCUAAAAUGAAUCAGCUUGCCAGUGUUUGGUGGGCAUCACAGGUGUGAUAACUAUCUACGCUUGUGGUUUUCCACCAGGUAACCUUCGGCAGUGGAGGUUCGCUGGAGCUCACAGACGUGUCUCUCCUCAGUGAGGACAGCCCUUUGAAUGUUUGAUCUCAAAUCAGGUAGGACUACCCGCUGAACUUAA
rnacentral:sRNA from 1 species